UAAGAAACAGACUUAACUUUCACCGAGAUCCAGGUUUUUUCUCCAAUAAACACGACACAGUUUCCCAAAAUUCUUCUUUGUCUUAUUGUCAUGAAGCAAGAGGUACUCAUCAUUCCCAGAAUCCUUCCCCAGGAAGCAGCAGCCCUCGGCCUUCUGUGGUUGGGCGCACAGGCCAGCGACCCAGAGGAGAUGGCCAGGACUGGGAUGCAGCGUCCUCUAGUGGAAGUAGUAGUCAUGCUCAUGUAAACUCCAGGAUAUCCGUUCAUUCACCUUUGGAUAUGGGACACAUAGAUCUGCCAGAGCUGGAAACUGAAGACACAUUGGAACUACAAUUCCAGCAGCUCAGUCUUCCCCAGUUUUGUGUCUCCAUUCUGGAAUCAGC
rnacentral:lncRNA from 1 species